UACGUAGGGCGCGAGCGUUGUCCGGAUUUAUUGGGCGUAAAGAGCUCGUAGGCGGCUUGUCGCGUCGACUGUGAAAACCCGCAGCUCAACUGUGGGCUUGCAGCCGAUACGGGCAGGCUAGAGUUCGGUAGGGGAGACUGGAAUUCCUGGUGUAGCGGUGAAAUGCGCAGAUAUCGGGAGGAACACCAAUGGCGAAGGCAGCUCGCUGGGACGGUACUGACGCUGAGACGCGAAAGCGUGGGGAGCAAACAGG
rnacentral:rRNA from 1 species